AUGCCAUAAUGGCAUAAUCCCUUCCCAUUUCCCAUGCUGAGGAUGCUCUAACCUUGUUGUAUCAGAUUAUCAUUUUCUUUAAGCAAAGAAAAACCCAGCUUUUCAAUAUUGCAUAUGCUUCACAGAAAAUGCUAGGUUCCUUCCUAUUCUUUUUCCUCUAUCUUCACCAUUUUCACUCCUUCUCUCUAAUGUGAAAGUAAUCUAAAGAUAUGGGGGGACCCCCUUACCCCCCUCCCUUAGUUUGAACAAUUUUGUGAUAAGAGAGUACCUUCUAUUCCAAACUCUUUGUCCCUUGUAAGCAAAUGAGUGUCUCAGAAGAUAUUAAUGUACAGACAAUAAGGCAUAGGUAAGAGUACCCUUAGCACAAAACAGGUAUACAUAGUUCCUUUAAAUCUGACAUUUUGUUUGGUAAAUGUCAAUUCUCAUUUACAUAAGCCUUUUAGCUUAAUUCCACAUCAUGGUUAAUUCAUUACUCAAAUUAUAUAUGUAAGGUGGGUGGAUAUAGAAGACUAGCAACUCUAGUCCUUUUCUUUAUCCAAAAAUUUGUUGCCUACCAUGACCAACUCACCUGCAUAGGAUAGCUAAAUUGGUGAAAAUUUUGUGAUAUGUUAGACAUAAAUUACUGUUAUUUUCUUCACUGUGGUUCAUACUUGGAAGCCUAUGCUUGUCGGUGUGUAGAAAAUGGAUAGAGAUAGCGAGAGAGAGAGUAGAGUCUUAGUGUCAAUGUCAUUCAUGAUAAUUUGGUAAAUCAUGGACUAUUUGUUAGAACAGUGAAAUCAAUGUUACCACCUUUUAGUUUAGCCAUAACAACCUAUCUUAUUCCUUAGUACUUUGUUUUGGCCUCAUAACUUGUUGUCUAAGUUUUUAUGUUGAUGAUAAAACACUUUCCACACCAUAAUGAAACUACAUUACAAUCUUAAAGCAUACCUAAUCUCGAACCCAUGCAAACAAAUUAUGCUUGGAGCACUAAUCUCUUUGGAUUUAGCUUUCAAGACAUCAAUAGAUUUUGUAUACUAAUACUUUGUUUGGAAUCGAGAGCAAAAGUAAUCCGAGAUUAAACUAGUAAAUUUAAGUGAAAAAUAUAUAAGAAUGGUUGUUAUUAUAUCUUGAUCCAAAAUCUUAAGAUAUAUGUAACGAAAUUAUAAUAAAAUCUUAAGCAUGAUUUAUAUUUAAGGUGCUUGCAAAUUCCUCUCCAUAUUCAACAAUCAUUGUCAAAUGAAGAAUCAUUUAUUUAUCUUGGUAGCCCAUCUAGUAAAAAGUUAUUAACUUUUUUUCUUCUUUUAUUGGUUUUUGGUACACUCAAAAGAAUGAUUCUCAUGAAGAUAGAGACAUGCAUUGCUAGCUUUAGAGUCACUUCUUAUGAGGAAUUGGAAGUAUCUUUUCAAAAAUAUCCUUUAUAGUUUUAUUGUGUAGCUUAUCUAAGAUUUCCCGGGAUUCAUUUCCAUGUGCCACAAAGCUUCAAUUAACUACGUGUCCUUAAAUCCCUCACCCUUCUAGAGGGGUCUC